AUAGAUCCAUAGCCCCACUUGCGACGAUGACUCAGUUCCAGUCACACAAAACGGAAAGGCGACUCGACAUUUUGUCUCAACCCACUUGGAAUUCUGCCACAACCAUUAGCAUGGAUUCGUAUUCAUUUUCCAAAUGCAGUAAGAAUCUAUUGAGUCCAAAUGCAGUCUAAAGCCUGUCUAUUUAAAGGUUUAAAGUUCCCCUAAGAUUAACUAUCGGUCAACAAGUUUCCGCUACAGAUCCUGAAUUAAGUCCUUGUAAUGUAACGGACCUCUCAAAGACAUUUACGAUUCUGUUUUUCCCUCCACCAAAUGGAACAAAGAGUAAGGACAUGUAUUCGGAAGAGAAAAUAUCUAUUUAUCGAUUACAAAUUGGAACCGCUGUCGAAUUCAUACAGUCGAGUGUCAAUUCCCCAGCGAGCGACAAAAAUGUUUCGUUCCUUCGAAGAAAUUCCCACUCUUCUUGCAUCUUACUGCACAUAAAUUGGUGCCUGCACCAACGGAAACGGAUUGACCUUUCAAUGAAAGUAAGUUGCACCAGAGAAAUCAAGUCUCCUGUUUUGCAUGCAUUGAUUCGUCCUGCCACUUUCCGAGUUUUGUAACGCACGUGGGAGGGAAAAUAUCAGUGAAACAAAAACAACAAAAUUACAAGAAGAUCUAUAUAACUAUGGUUUGCGAGUCUAGAGAUUUAAUGUUAACAUUGUUCUGGUCAAUAUUAUUAACGGGUUCUCUUUUGGCCUUUUAAUUGUUUAAAUUGAUGCUACUGUCGAUUCCCUUUUCCUUUCGUGGUGCAAUAUGAAGAUGGGUAAGAACAUGUUUUUCACAAUGAUUCGGGUUUGCGCCUUUUUC